GAGAGCUCGAGGCCAGCCAGGAGCGGGGGCGGGGCUGCGCGCGCAUCCUGAGCCUCAGCCGGCACAAGCGGGUUCGCGCGACUACGAUUCCCAGAAGGCCACGGAGCACAAGGCUGCCCAAUCACAAAAGGUCGCUGAGGCUCCGCCCCUUUGCCUUCUAUUUCCCCCCGCUUUCCUCCUCGGCCAAGCGGUCCUCUGCUGAGGAGGGGCGGGACGCAGCGUGCAUUUUCACCAAUCACGGGCCCCGAGCUCUCUGUCGGUCUCCCUUCCCCUGUCCUUUUUUCCUCCCUUCCUGCCUGCCGGUUCGGGCGUCUGUCGCCAUGACAACCGCCCAGCGGUCUCCUCAGUCUCCACCUGGAGUGGAAGCAGAAGAGAGCUUCCCACGCUUCUCCUCUGGGUUUGGAGCCGCGCUUCGCAGUCCGGACUAUUCCAUGGCUUCCAUUCCUUGUCUUUCUUUUACAGACCUCUGGCUUCCCUCUGCCUCUUCAGUUCAGAGCCAGCGUCUCAGGGAGACUUUAUGUCCCUUGGUCACCCACUCACCUGAUUCUCCAGUGAAAGGCAACCAAAGUUGACUUGGAAGUAAGCCUUAAGAGACAGGGGCCGUGUCUCUCCAUCACCGCCAUCACACAUCUUUUCUACUUUUUUAUUCAAUUGUUGUUCAAUCAUAAAUGGACUCUCCUUUCUCAAGAA